AGCAACCAAACACGGCAAAUUAACAACUGGGGAGAAACGACACCGAGACACCCCCUCCCCACUGCCCAGACCCGCUCUCCUCCACGCACCCAGACACCCCCACAGCCCCGUCGGGAGCGCUUACGGAAGCCCCCGGGGAGACAGAGCCGAGGGGGUCACCGCAGCGCUGCGGCAAGCCCGGGGUACCGGGGAACGCCGCUUCCCGCGCCGCCGGGGGUCCCGUACGAGGGAGUCGCUCCCCCAUUCCCGCCCCUCCGAAGCACGCUGCGUUCCAUGUGCACAGCCCCCACAGCCCCUCACACUCGCGACACGGCGCGGAGGCUGGAAAGCGCAGGAACAGCGCGCCUGUUCCCGUGUGUGCAAACACGCCGGCUACAGCAGUGAAAAGGCUGCACAUCAAUGGUGAGGGAUGAAAGACAAACAGGAUGCAUUAUUGGAUAUCAGAAGUGCAAUGCUGGAAAACAAGACUUGCCUGGCACUGACACAUUAACCCUUCAAGAAAUCAUCUAAACUGACUAACACCCUGAAAUUCAUUGGGAGCUUCCUGGAAAGGAGAAUUUUAAGAACAAGAACAGAAAAAAAAAACCUGGUAAAAGUUGUAACUGGCUCUGCCGGUCUGUGCUAUGACAGCCAACAAUAUCACCUGCUGAUGAUUUACAGAUUCCUGGGAGAUGUGUUGUUGAGUCUCAAGGAACUGGAACAAGAACAACUCGCUCAAAUUGCUUCCCGUGAAACAGCAUAAUGUAUCCACCCGCUUCAUGCUCUCCUAAUUUAGGACACAUGUAGUCUGUAAUGAUGAAUGGGCCAACUGAUUAUGUUGCUGGAAAUCUCAUUCCCCACCUUACAAAACACCCCUGAUUGACCCCUUUCUCAUGAUAGCUCAGUGCAGCAUUUCCAGUCCACUUCUUGGAUUGGAAAGGGAGAAAAAUCACACUAGCCACUUGCAAAAGCACUUCUUCGGAGAGAAAAAUGCAACAUUUUGUUGUUUUUAUUCCACUGGGCAGCCUUUCCAAGUUCUAUGACCAACUUUUGCUUCCCUUUAAAUUGUGACCAGUUUAUUUAUCCUUCUUUGAACACAAUAACUUAAUUAAGAAACUAAUCAGCAGUGUUGAACUGAUCUUUCAACUCACCCCUAUCACUGAAAGAAAUUUAUGAAUGCAUAAUACAAGAAAGAUCCUAUUAUCCUAAAAGCUUUCUACUAAAAGCAUUUGGCGUCUAAAAAGUACGACUUGAAAUUCUGCACUAAAUUUAGAAUGUAAGUGUGUGAAGAUUAUUUAUGGAGUCUGAAAUGUACCCCAACUGAAUCUAACA